CAACAAGGGACUAAAGCUGACCAAAAUGAAUCUUUUCUGCUUCUCACUGGAGGGUUCUAUGGAUAGCUUAUAUGAGCCAAUCCCAGUGCAACAAACUAACCAAGAAGGCACCCCUGGUAGAACUGGUUCUCCUGUCUCACCCCUUGGGAAUAGGGAACAAACUCCAC
rnacentral:lncRNA from 1 species